rnacentral:lncRNA from 1 species
GUGCAUGUGGGUACGAGAUAACUACAAUUCUCAUGCAAUCCCGAAAAGGGGGGUCAUCACAGACAAACAUGACAUUAAAUCGUUAUCACUGAACUAGUAUAUAUAUUGUAUAGGGGCCAGCUGAAGGACGCCUCCGGGUGCGGGAAUUUUUCGCUGCAUUGAAGACCUGUUGGUGACCUUAAUUCUGCUGUUGUAUGUUUUUCUAUGGUCGGGUUGUUGUCUCUUUGACAAAUUCCCCAUUUCCAUUCUCAAUUUUAUUAUACGAACAAGAACAAACAGCUCUACGUUACUUUGAUAUUUAUCAAUUUUCAGGAAACAUUGCGAAAAAUGAUCUUCAAUAUUUCGAAAACAUGUGAAAUAAAAUUGCUAACACGGUGGACCGUCGAGUGUCAACAAACGUAGUAGACUUGUUCACUGAAAAGACGAGGAUAAUGGUUUCAUCUGACAUUUGUUAUGCAAACCCAGUCGUGAAAUUAUUGAAGUGUGCAGUGUGCUUUUUGCAAAAUACAAGCUCAAUAUUAAAUUUGAUCUGCUUACAAUUCUCAUCAACCCAUAUUAUUAUUGUGGAGAACAAUGGAAUUCUAGGAAUCUUAUAUCAGACAUUGAUCAAUUGCUGGAACCUCUCUGUAGAUGCUUAUGCUACAAGCUUCAUGCUAAAAGAUAUCAACUUUUAGACAUUCAAACUAAACCUAGAACUGUUAGAAAGCUUGCAAAGUAGAAUGUUCGCAUCUUGGUACUGCCCACAAUCCCAUUUUUUUUUUUAUACUUUUAGAUCUUAAAAUAUACCUAUUAAUUUCAUAUUUUCUAGCCCUGCUUAAAGUUAAAGUGUAAAUAAUUAUAUCCUUCUAAAGAGACAUUAAUCUUAAGUUAGUGGAUACAGUGUGUUGUAAUUAUAUCCUACUAAAGAGACAUUAAUCUAGUGGAUACAGUGUGUUGUAUAUAUAUAUUUUUUUUUUUUUUUUUUUUUUUUAUUGGUGGAGGACUUUAGAACAGAUAUAUAUUAUUUAAUUUUUUUUAUAUAUAAAUUAGAUAUCCGUGUAUAUAUAUUCUUGGUGGAGGAUAACCAUAUUAUUACUCCCAAUAAGUGGAGGUGUGCCUUUAUUGGCAGAAGUUAGACAGAUACAGAUACAGAUCAUGAUAUUUAAAAAGACGUACUUUUUUUCAAUCUAUGUAUUAAUAAACUAGAAAAUUCUAAAUUGUAAAUAUCUCUUCAUCUGGACCGACUCGGCAUCUACUACGUUUGGACGGGUCCAUUUCAUUAGUAAGGUGAUCGAUAAAUAUUACGGAGUUUGACAGAAAAGGAAAACGAACUUAUUGUUAUGUGUUUUCAACAAGGGUUUCGUUCCGCUAAAUUAUUUGCGCAAAUAAAGUUUGUCUAUUUUUAGAUUACAGGUAAUAAUUUGACACUACGCAUUAAGGCAGCAACCAUUUGAUUUUCUGGGGGGGGCUAUGGUUUUUUUUGGAAAAAAAAGUUUGUUUCCAGUUUUUGGAGAAAAAAAAUAAUUUGUUUUUGAUUCUGAGAAAAAAAAAUUGUUUGUUUCACCCUCAGCUGCC